UGGUGGAGUGAUUUGUCUGCUUAAUUGCGAUAACGAACGAGACCUUAACCUGCUAAAUAGCCAGGCGAGCUUUGGCUCGUCGCCGGCUUCUUAGAGGGACUGUCAGUGUCUAACUGACGGAAGUUUGAGGCAAUAACA
rnacentral:rRNA from 1 species